AUGGUGUACCACAGCUUCGAUUCGGUAGAAGACGACCCACAUAACUACUAUCCACCAGAAUCCCUAAACACUCUCACCCCAAAUGGACUGCCUCCACAUAUGUUGAAGCUCAAAAUUAAUUGCCCAAUCAUACUACUCAGAAACAUCGACCCUGCUAAUGGACUAUGCAACGGCACGAGGUUGGUCGUACGUGGAUUUCAAAAAAAUACAAUUAACGCAGAGAUUGUGGUGGGACAACACUCUGGAAUGCGAGUUUUCCUGCCCAGGAUACCAUUAUGCCCCUCCGACAAUGACAUGUUUCCGUUCAGUUUCAAGAGGAAACAGUUUCCAGUCAGACUCAGUUUUGCAAUGACAGUAAAUAAAUCACAAGGCCAGACAAUACCAAAUGUCGGCAUCUACCUGCCUGAACCGGUUUUCUCACAUGGUCAACUAUAUGUCGCACUAUCUAGAGCAACCGCGACAUUAAACAUAAAAGUACUAACAGGUACACAUGAUGAGAGCAAGCAGAAGAACAAAAAGACCAGCAUAGACAACACAUACACAAAGGGAGAGAAGAAAAAGAGAAAGAAAAAGACCAGUACAAGCGGGACAUAUACGAAAAAUAUUGUCUACAAGGAGGUCCUAACCAAAUAG
rnacentral:rRNA from 1 species